CCUACGGGAGGCAGCAGUGAGGAAUAUUGGUCAAUGGGCUUACGCCUGAACCAGCCAAGUCGCGUGAGUGAAGACUGCCCUAUGGGUUGUAAACCUCUUUUGUCAGGGAGCAACGCCGGCUACGUGUAGCCGGACUGAGAGUACCUGACGAAAAAGCAUCGGCUAACUCCGUGCCAGCAGCCGCGGUAAUACGGAGGAUGCGAGCGUUAUCCGGAUUUAUUGGGUUUAAAGGGUGCGUAGGCGGAAUGCCAAGUCAGCGGUAAAAGCGCGGGGCUAAACCUCGAGUCGCCGUUGAAACUGGCGUUCUUGAGUGGGCGAGAAGUAUGCGGAAUGCGUGGUGUAGCGGUGAAAUGCAUAGAUAUCACGCAGAACUCCGAUUGCGAAGGCAGCAUACCGGCGCCCAACUGACGCUGAAGCACGAAAGCGUGGGUAUCGAACAGGAUUAGAUACCCUAGUAGUC
rnacentral:rRNA from 1 species